rnacentral:rRNA from 1 species
ACGCCAACAGUUGCCAGCUCGGUCCUCCGGGAUGGAGGGGACGACUGUUGGGACCGCCUCUGCUAAAGAGGAGGAAGGAAUGGGCAACGGUAGGUCAGCAUGCCCCGAAUUAAUUGGGCUACACGCGGGCUACAAUGGGUGGGACAAUGGGUAUCGACACCGAAAGGUGAAGGCAAUCUCCUAAACCCAUCCGUAGUUCGGAUUGUGGGCUGCAACUCGCCCACAUGAAGCUGGAAUCUGUAGUAAUCGUGUUUCAAAAUAGCACGGUGAAUAUGUCCCUGCUCCUU